rnacentral:rRNA from 1 species
UGGGGAAUAUUGCACAAUGGGCGCAAGCCUGAUGCAGCCAUGCCGCGUGUGUGAAGAAGGCCUUCGGGUUGUAAAGCACUUUCAGCGAGGAGGAAGGUGGUGGACUUAAUACGUUCAUCAAUUGACGUUACUCGCAGAAGAAGCACCGGCUAACUCCGUGCCAGCAGCCGCGGUAAUACGGAGGGUGCAAGCGUUAAUCGGAAUUACUGGGCGUAAAGCGCACGCAGGCGGUUUGUUAAGUCAGAUGUGAAAUCCCCGGGCUCAACCUGGGAACUGCAUUUGAAACUGGCAAGCUAGAGUCUCGUAGAGGGGGGUAGAAUUCUAGGUGUAGCGGUGAAAUGCGUAGAGAUCUGGAGGAAUACCGGUGGCGAAGGCGGCCCCCCUGGACGAAGACUGACGCUCAGGUGCGAAAGCGUGGGGCAGCAAACAGGAUUAGAUACCCUGGUAGUCCACGCUGUAAACGAUGUCGAUUUGGAGGUUGUGCCCCUUGAGGCGUGGCUUCCGGAGCUAACGCGUUAAA